rnacentral:tRNA from 1 species
GGAUCAGUGGUGUAGCGGUUAACAUGCCUCCCUGUCACGGAGGAGAUCGCGGGUUCGAUUCCCGUCUGAUCCG